CUUCCAAAUUAAAUCCUAAACUAAGGAAAGAAAAUUACAUUUAACAACAAUUGUUUCAAUAUUGUCCACCUGUCCUUUUUUUCAUUCUUACCUCCCCCCCCCUCCCCCAAAAAAAUAAUAAUAAUACGGAAACAAGGGCCGUCUUUCCCCUCAGAGCUAUUCAGCUCUUUGAUUAGGACUAUAAGAGGCAUCUUGCACGCAAAACCCCCAUGGGCAUUUUGAAAAAUUGGCAGGUAUGGGGUUCGUAGUUGUAUAAAGCUCCGCCCUGCAGAGAAUCUGGUUAACACCAGAUAUCAAUUAUUUUAUGAUGCUUAAGAUCCAC
rnacentral:lncRNA from 1 species